UCCACGAUACCAUUUCUUUAAGCUGAAUAAUACUAAAUAAUAAUACAUUCGAACUUAAUUUACAUACAUCAAAGUUUACUUCCCCAGGUACGUGACCUUCAAAUACAUUCCUUACAAUACCUGACAAUAGAUUCCAUUUUCUUACUAACUAUAACCAUUAACUCAUCCUAAAUCUCAUUCGAACAACUUUUCUUUUCCCUUGUUCGUGCCUGAGCCUUCAGGUCGAUCGUACGUAACUGAAAACAUUUAAUUUAAGCAAGGAUGAGCAUUUGAGUGCCCAGCAAGUAAUAGCAAUUAUAUAUAUAAGCUGAAAGAAUAUAAGUAUUCUCUUUACAUAACACUUCUACAACGAAUCGAAAGUUGUGAAGUAAUCUGUACUAAUAAAAAAUUCAUAUAACAACUCUCUUCCAAAUUAAUUAAAUUUGGCUCUGGCUCUACCCAUGAAUAGG
rnacentral:lncRNA from 1 species